UUUUUUGAUUUGUAAUAUUGUCCCAUACAUAAAUAUAUAUUGUUUAAGAUUGUGGAUCUCGACCGUUAUAAAUUCUCAAACAGAAAGGGGUAGAGUGGCCCCACGAACUCCACCUAUAAUUCAUAUGAUUUGUUAUAUUGUCCCAUACAUGAAUAUAUAUUGUUUAGGGGUGGGGAUCUUGACCGUUACCAAGUUUAAGUGAUUUUGGUUUCUUGUGGAUAGUUGUCUCAUUUGCAAUCAUACCACAUCUUUUUUUUAUAUAAGAAACUUCCAGCUAUUUUAACAGACCUAUCAAAAUUGAGAAGAAAAAAAUGCCCCUUGAAAUUGCAGUAAUAUGUUUAACUUGAAAAGCAUUUAACAUGCAUUACCAACAUUUAUCACUGAUAAAAAAAAUUAUAUUGUUACCAGGAACAUAUAUAUUGUUAGAUAUACUGUUCCCAGCUGUCAUUUGUAUUGGAUUUUGACAUUAAAAUUGGUGUACAAAAUAUUUUCUGCUUUUUCUUUCUUUUAAACAUAUUUUGGUUUUCAAUUCUAGUGUUUAUAUUUAUUUACCAUGCAUAGCUGUAUUUUGUAACCUGUCUGGAUUUUUUUUAGUUGAUAGCCCCAAAACCCGGGAUUACCCUUAUCCGCUUCCGGAAUCGGAUCCGAUAUUGUAAUCUCGCGGCAGCCAUUUUGUUUACAAUGUUGUUUUUGACAGAAAGUGAGAUACGAUUUUACUCGGAUUUACACAUCAUUUAUCGGCGAUUUUCUGUAUAAAGCUAGCGGUUGAACAAAUUGAACAUCGCUGUCAUGAAUAGUAAUGAUGAAAAUAAGUUUGAGAUCGUUUUUUAGGAAACUGGUAAAAAUGUUUGCAAAGUUAUUUUUUUAUUUUCUUUCAAGGUCCGUCGGGCGUAGCUAGUAAUUAAGUAGAAAGUCCGACUGCAAAAGUGGAAGGUCACACCCCGUACCACCGCUAAUUUGAACCCCUGUGUCCAAAUUAAAAAGAUACGAAAAUUUCAUCUUCUAAUUCAAAAUUGCCGCCAACAGCGCGAUCAGUUGAACUUUAUAUACGUAGUUGACUAGAUAUUGACGACAAACAAUAUUCCUACGAGUUUUGCAAUUUGGUAAAUCUUAACUACUUGUCUUUAGAGAUUUUCGGCGAUAAAUUAUUUCAUACAUUUGUUCUUUGACAUCUUAGCCAAAAGCUCAGGGGAUAAUAAACUACAUAAGGAUUCCUAAUGUGCUCUACUUCCUAUGUGCAACUUCAAAACUUUUGGGAAAAUCGACGAUCAUUUAAGGUUUUUCUGGUCAUAUUUUUUGUAAUCCAGAAUGAAAAGUAUGAAAAAAC
rnacentral:lncRNA from 1 species